UUGAAUUCCCUUUAGGUGUUGUGGUC
rnacentral:piRNA from 1 species